CGCAAGAGAACCGGAGCGACAGGUGCUGCAUGGUUGUCGUCAGCUCGUGUCGUGAGAUGUUGGGUUAAGUCCCGCAACGAGCCGCAACCCCUACGUUUAGUUGCUAACGCGUGAAGGCGAGCACUCUAGACGAACUGCCGUUGACAAAACGGAGGAAGGUGGGAUGACGUCAAAUCAUCAUGCCCCUUAUGUUCUGGGCUACACACGUGCUACAAUGGCCGGUACAGACGGAGGCGAAGCCGCGAGGCGGAGCAAAUCCGAAAAAAGCCGGUACUCAGUUCGGAUUGCAGGCUGCAAUUCGCCUGCAUGAAGUCGGAAUCGCUAGUAAUCGCAGGUCAGCAUACUGCGGUGAAUACGUUCCCGGGCCUU
rnacentral:rRNA from 1 species